ensembl:lncRNA
CGGCCUUCUUCCUUCGAGGCUGCGGGGCCAGCCGGGACGUGCGGGAUAGGACUGUGGUUCCUGUCAAGCCCCGGAGGCAGCACCGGCCCGAAGUCACCGCGGUCUCGGGAAAAAGACCUCGUGAUUUUUGCGGGAUCGCUUCACGUUCUGCACAGCGAGCCCAUUUCUCCUCCCACCACCCAGUCUGUGACACGGGAAAUGGGUGGUCGCUGCUUCUCUCCUUGGGUUCCUACACAGAUCCGGAUCUCAAGAGAUCAGUCCCCCCCAACGCCCCCUCCAGAGUUCAACGGGCGGAGUCAUGGAUGGGAACAUAAAGAUGCAACCCCUUGGGAGUCUGAGAGCUUUUCUGUCUUCUUGGUGACAAAAGGGAUGGGGGCGGGGUCGCCCCGCAGAGAUCCAAUAUAUUUAUGAUUCCUGGUGUGUGUGUGUCAAGGAUCAAGGACCUCCCGACUCUGUUUCCCAAUGUUGACCCAGCCCACUCCACUGUCUGCCUCUCCACCUGUUCAUCUGUUGGGACCUGGACCUGAUUCUCCGCUUCCUGCCCUGGAUUCUGCUUGCCUUGUUCACAUUGUAGCUAGUUUCUGCAGCUUCAUUCUCAAACCGGACUUCCAGUGGCACCGGUCUGGCUCAUUGUUUUAGCAAGACAAACUUGGUCCACUCCUGAAACCCCUUGAACUUUGUUUCAGCCUCUUUAACAUGUACUCAUUCUGUAACAUAUAUAUUUGGGUUAGUAACCCAAUAUUAGUAAGAUCAGAAUAAAGAACUUGAAUCUACCUAGUCCAAGAUACCAAGGUAGGCAGUAAUGGUAAGUAAUGGUAAAUUACUGCCAUUGAAAUCGCUAAACUUGGGCUGGAGAGAUAGAUGAGUGGUUAAGAGCUUUGGGUGAUCUUCCAGAGGACCCAGCUACAAUUCACAGAAUCAACAUGGCAGCACACAACUGUCUGUGUCUCCAGUUCCAGGGGGUCUGACACCCUCACACAGACAUACAUACAUGUAGUCAAAAUGCCAAUGUACAAAAAAAUAAUAAAGAAGAAAUCAUUAAAAAAA